rnacentral:rRNA from 1 species
AUACAGAGGGUGCGAGCGUUAAUCGGAAUUACUGGGCGUAAAGCGCGCGUAGGCGGCUUAUUAAGUCAGAUGUGAAAUCCCCGGGCUCAACCUGGGAACUGCAUCUGAUACUGGUAAGCUAGAGUUUUGGAGAGGGAAGUAGAAUUUCAGGUGUAGCGGUGAAAUGCAUAGAGAUCUGAAGGAAUACCAGUGGCGAAGGCGACUUCCUGCCCAAAAACUGACGCUGAGGUGCGAAAGCGUGGGUAGCAAACGGGAUUAGAAACCCCAGUAGUCC